rnacentral:misc_RNA from 1 species
GAUGAAGAACGUAGUGAAAUGCGAUAAUUAAUGUGAAUUGCAGAAUUCCGUGAAUCAUCGAGUCUUUGAACGCACAUUGCGCCUCAUGGCAUUCCGUGAGGCAUGCCCAUCUCAGCGUUAGAAAAUAUUCUCAAAUUUUAGUUUUGUGCUAAAAUUUGGAUCAUGUCAAGGAAGCUAUUACUAUUAUUGUGAUCGCUCUUUGGAAAUUGAUAGGUCUUUGAGUUGCUACUCAUAGAACGUGAUGAAUCUUUCUUCGUUCUAUUGUAAUUCACUCUGGUAGUCCUAAAACUUGUAUGCCUGUGGCAUAUCUUGUAAUUUGACCUGAGAUUGGGAAGGGAUACCCGCUGAACUUAAGCAUAUCAAUAAGCGGAGGA